AUUGAACGCUGGCGGCAGGCUUAACACAUGCAAGUCGAGCGAGCGGCGGACGGGUGAGUAAUGUCUGGGAAACUGCCUGAUGGAGGGGGAUAACUACUGGAACCAGUAGCUAAUACCGCCUAACAUCAUAUUGGCCCAGAUUGGAUUAGCUAUUCGGUGGGGUAAUGGCUCACCUAGGCGACGAUCCCUAGCUGGUCUGAGAGGAUGACCAGCCACACUGGAACUGAGACACGGCCCAGACUCCUACGGGAGGCAGCAGUGGGGAAUAUGGCACAAUGGGCGAAAGCCUGAGCCAGCAAUGCCGCGUGUGUGAAGAAGGCUUUCGGGUUGUAAAGCACUUUCAGCGAGGAGGCGUUAUUCGCAGAAGAAGCAACGGCUAACUCCGUGCCAGCAGCCGCGGUAAUAC
rnacentral:rRNA from 1 species